rnacentral:tRNA from 1 species
AAUAGUGUAGUUUAAUUAAAAUAUUAAUUUUCCAAAUUAAUGAUCUUUUUAUAAUAAGUGCUAUUA